AAAAAGAAAAACCCUGAGUUUCCGUGUCCAACUUUGAAUAAUUCGUAUUUUCAUUGUUGUUAGAUGAUAAAACAUGAUUAAUAUUUUAUGCGUGACUUGUCUUUUUAAUUUUUUUCAUAAUUUUUUUAAAUAAGACGGACGGUCAAACGUUAGGCAUGGAACCAGGGUU
rnacentral:pre_miRNA from 1 species